rnacentral:rRNA from 1 species
GAUGAACGCUGGCGGCGUGCUUAACACAUGCAAGUCGAACGGAGUUUAUACGGAAAGCGUCUUCGGAUACCGGAAGUAUAAACUUAGUGGCGGACGGGUGAGUAACGCGUGGGUAACCUGCCUUAUACAAGGGGAUAACAGAGGGAAACUUCUGCUAAUACCGUAUAAAAAUAUUUCACGCAUGUGAGAUAUUUGAAAGAUUUAUCAGUAUAAGAUGGACCCGCGUCUGAUUAGGUAGUUGGUGAGGUAGAGGCUCACCAAGCCGACGAUCGGUAGCCGAUCUGAGAGGAUGACCGGCCACAUUGGGACUGAGACACGGCCCAAACUCCUACGGGAGGCAGCAGUGGGGAAUAUUGGACAAUGGGGGCAACCCUGAUCCAGCGACGCCGCGUGAGUGAAGAAGUAUUUCGGUAUGUAAAGCUCUAUCGAUAACGGAAGAAGANGACAAGCCGUA